UACGAAGGGUGCUAGCGUUGCUCGGAAUCACUGGGCGUAAAGAGCUCGUAGGCGGUGUGUCGCGUCGGCCGUGAAAACCUGCAGCUUAACUCUGGGCGUGCGGUCGAUACGGGCAUCACUAGAGUUCGGCAGGGGAGACUGGAAUUCCUGGUGUAGCGGUGAAAUGCGCAGAUAUCAGGAGGAACACCGGUGGCGAAGGCGGGUCUCUGGGCCGAUACUGACGCUGAGGCGCGAAAGCUAGGGUAGCAAACGGG
rnacentral:rRNA from 1 species